rnacentral:misc_RNA from 1 species
UUCCCUAUAUUUGCAACUAUUUUCCUGUCAGCCCUUUCUAAGCAUUUAUACGAGGUCCUCAUUUCUGGAGGGUCAAUCCAAACGUGGAGAAAUGAACAGAGAUUGUGGAUGAUGAAGUCAAUUUCAAGUCACGUAUAUGGAAGUUUGGAUGCGAUUAUGAAAAGGCUAGGUGUGAGGGAAGCAAGUUUCUUGCUUACCAAUAAGGUUGAAGAUGAUGAAAAAUCUAAGCUCUACCAAAUGGGAAAACUUGAUUUCCAAACAUCAACUAGGCUACUUGUUCCAGUGGUCACAGUGGCAAUCUUGAACGUGGUAUCGUUUCUUGUGGGAGUUGUAAGA